rnacentral:rRNA from 1 species
CUUAGUAACGGCGAGUGAACCGGGAUGAGCUCAAAUUUAAAAUCUGGCGUCUUUCAGGCGUCCGAGUUGUAAUCUAUAGAGGCGUUUUCCGCGCCGGACCGCGUCCAAGUCUCUUGGAAUAGAGUAUCAAAGAGGGUGACAAUCCCGUACUUGACGCGACAACCGGUGCUCUGUGAUACGUUCUCAAUGAGUCGAGUUGUUUGGGAAUGCAGCUCUAAAUGGGUGGUAAAUUCCAUCUAAGGCUAAAUAUUGGCGAGAGACCGAUAGCGAACAAGUACCGUGAGGGAAAGAUGAAAAGCACUUUGGAAAGAGAGUUAAACAGCACGUGAAAUUGUUAAAAGGGAAACGAUUGAAGUCAGUCGUGUGAAAGGUAUUCAGCCGUCUCUGGCGGUGUAUUUGCCUUUCACGGGUCAACAUCAGUUUGAUCCGGUAGAAAAAGGCGGGAGGAAGGUGGCACCCUCGGGUGUGUUAUAGCCUCCUGUCAUAUGUGCCGGACCAGACUGAGGAACGCAGCUUGCCGCAAGGCCGGGGUUCGCCCACGUACAAGCUUAGGA